CAAGUCGAGCGGACGGAUGGGAGCUUGCUCCCUGAAGUCAGCGGCGGACGGGUGAGUAACACGUGGGCAACCUGCCUGUAAGACUGGGAUAACUCCGGGAAACCGGGGCUAAUACCGGAUAACUCUUUUCCUCACAUGAGGAAAAGCUGAAAGAUGGUUUCGGCUAUCACUUACAGAUGGGCCCGCGGCGCAUUAGCUAGUUGGUGAGGUAACGGCUCACCAAGGCCACGAUGCGUAGCCGACCUGAGAGGGUGAUCGGCCACACUGGGACUGAGACACGGCCCAGACUCCUACGGGAGGCAGCAGUAGGGAAUCUUCCGCAAUGGACGAAAGUCUGACGGAGCAACGCCGCGUGAGUGAUGAAGGUUUUCGGAUCGUAAAACUCUGUUGUCAGGGAAGAACAAGUACCGGAGUAACUGCCGGUACCUUGACGGUACCUGACCAGAAAGCCACGGCUAACUACGUGCCAGCCGC
rnacentral:rRNA from 1 species